GAUUAUGUUUUUGAAUUUUCAAUAUAUUUUUUUUUAUUUAUUACCCGUAGAUUCUACGGGUUGUAACUAGUAAAUAAAAGCAUUUCGGCCACGUGACAAUCUCUUAGACCCCAAUUGAUUUUUCCCCCAAUUGACAAUCUAUUAUCAAUCGUUGGCUACUGUUCCAAGCCUAGAUGUGUCAAUCGAUUCUAAUCUUAUCCCAACUACCAAUAUACUCGAUCGAAGGUAUUAGUAUUUCAUUUAUUCUACAAAAUUUAAAUGGGUUUUGAUGUUUCGCGUUUUUGCUUUCGGGUUUUGAUUCAUCUGAAAAAAUUUCUUGAUUUAUGGCAUCAAAUUCGAUCUAGGUUUUUUGUUUAAAUCUUCUUCUCGGGCUCAUUUUUGCUUGAUUUCUUCAGACCAGUCGAUGGGUUACUUAAUCUACUCAUUACAGCUCCUCAACUUUAUGCAUUAAAUUUAUCAGCUUUUGGCAUUUGAUGUUGCUCCUUAUGAUAUGCUACAUAAGUAGAUUUCAUGAUAAUUUUGUUAUCAAGAAAAUUCAAGAUUUAAAUUGAUGGAGACCCAAAGGGUAAAAGAGGAAUUAACAAACAAGGUUAAAUUACUUGAAGAUUAUACGUGAUAAGAUACAGGAAAGAAGGGGGAUCUUUGAACCACCUUCAUUGCAUGCUGGAUCGGAGAUAUCAGAAAUUGAAGAUCUGGCAUGUGUUUCUUUCUAUACUCUUUUCUUUCUUUUCUCAUAUUAUUAUUAUUAUUUCAUUGUUUCCAUGGAUAAAGCGCUGAUUGUUGUUUGUUUGGAGUUAUAAUGUUGUAUACACAAAGUAGAAUGCAGAUAAUUGACCAUUUUACCAUUCUAUUUUUAAACUAUAUUUUUAUUUUUGUACAGACUCAGGUUGGGAAAUUAGGCUUGCCCUUAGUGUCAUUUGCUGCCCAGGUGAGAUCCUUACAAAAAGGAUCAAAUGACCAACUUGCCAUUACCAUUGAUUCACAUUCUGAAUGCUUGCUUAAUAAUAAAUCCGAAACUUUUGAAGAUAAAGGUCACUUGAACACAAACCAGCUGAUGGUGGUUCUAAUCUUCCAUCUGUACAAAAAUGACAUUGACAUUGCAGCUCCUACACUAAGACUCAUAAUGACAACAACUUGAUGGAAAAAGACAUACCAUUCUAACCCAUGACAACAAUCAACAUACAGAUUCAACAAAAAAAACAUUGGCUCCUACACUAGUUCAAACUAAAAUUCAAGGUUCAUUGAAUCAUCCGCAUAAACUUUGCUUACUAGUUUAAAGUCUUGCAACUUUUGGCUAACUUUUGGUAAUUUGGUGUACACAAUUUUUAUCAAUCUAAUAUAAAUUCUGAUCGGCAAUAUGCAAAUUCAGUGUAAUUUGAAAAAAAAUUCAUCAUAUGACAUGGAAACAAGUUAAAAAGAUUAGAAGAAGAAUCAUGGAGCUUAGAAGAAGUAAUAUAUUACCGUUUAUGGAGAUUGGAGAAGGCUUCAAUGGCGAAGGAAGAAACGGCUUCAAUGGAGAAGGAAGAAGCCGAAGAACAGAUGGAACUUUCAACUUGGAGGCCUUGUGCAGUUGACCAGUUGUGCCGUGAAUCAGAAUUCAGAACUCAGAAAAAGAAGAUCAAGCGGAACACAGAAUCCGCAUAGAGGAAGAAGCGUCGCUUUUUUUCAGCCGUUUAGCGCCUUAGGCCUAGGGUAGGGAUAUACUACAUGGACUCCUUUGUCUGUGGAUCCUUUGUUUUAAUAUGAAUAAGGCCGGCCCAUUUGGUCAUUCAAUAA